CUAGAACGGAGCGAAAAGAUUA
rnacentral:miRNA from 1 species